rnacentral:rRNA from 1 species
AUACGUAGGGGGCAAGCGUUGUCCGGAAUCACUGGGCGUAAAGGGUGAGUAGGCGGUUAUUUAAGUUGGGUGUGAAAUCCCCGGGCUUAACCUGGGAAUCGCACUCAAAACUGGGUAACUAGAGUGUCGGAGAGGAAAGCGGAAUUCCUGGUGUAGCGGUGAAAUGCGUAGAUAUCAGGAGGAACACCGGUGGCGAAGGCGGCUUUCUGGACGAUAACUGACGCUGAGGCACGAAAGCGUGGGGAGCAAACAGGAUUAGAUACCCUGGUAGUCCACGCUGUAAACGAUGAAUACUAGGUGUAGGGGGUGUAUACUCUCUGUGCCGCAGCUAACGCAAUAAGUAUUCCGCCUGGGGAGUACGGUCGCAAGACUAAA